UUGGUCCUACGGGGCGCAGCAGUGAGGAAUAUUGGUCAAUGGUCGGGAGACUGAACCAGCCAAGCCGCGUGAGGGAGGAAGGUACAGAGUAUCGUAAACCUCUUUUGUCAGGGAACAAAGACUGGGACGCGUCCCCGGAUGAGUGUACCUGAAGAAAAAGCAUCGGCUAACUCCGUGCCAGCAGCCGCGGUAAUACGGAGGAUGCGAGCGUUAUCCGGAUUUAUUGGGUUUAAAGGGUGCGCAGGCGGUCUGUUAAGUCAGCGGUCAAAGCCCGGGGCUCAGCCCCGGCCCGCCGUUGAAACUGG
rnacentral:rRNA from 1 species